CUCGGCCUCGAGGUCCCUGGUGCCUGGCGCGCGUAGCCCAGGCUUAAAGUGGGGAAGUCCGGUGAGAGUCCGGCGCUGUCCCGCAACGGUCAUGGCUCCCCCAGAGGAGCACGAGCCCGAACACCUGCCAGGGAAGCCCCGCACCC
rnacentral:ncRNA from 2 species